GAUGAACGCUAGCUACAGGCUUAACACAUGCAAGUCGAGGGGAAACGACAUCGAAAGCUUGCUUUUGAUGGGCGUCGACCGGCGCACGGGGGAGUAACGCGUAUCCAACCUGCCCACCACUUGGGGAUAACCUUGCGAAAGUAAGACUAAUACCCAAUGACGUCUCUAGAAGACAUCUGAAAGAGAUGAAAGAUUUAUCGGUGAUGGAUGGGGAUGCGUCUGAUUAGCUUGUUGGCGGGGUAACGGCCCACCAAGGCGGCGAUCAGUAGGGGUUCUGAGAGGAAGGUCCCCCACAUUGGACCUGAGACACGGUCCAAACUCCUACGGGCGGCAGCAGUGAGGAAUAUUGGUCAAUGGACGAGAGUCUGAACCAGCCAAGUAGCGUGCAGGAUGACGGCCCUAUGGGUUGUAAACUGCUUUUAUAAGGGAAUAAAGUGAGUCUCGUGAGACUUUUUGCAUGUACCUUAUGAAUAAGGACCGGCUAAUUCCGUG
rnacentral:rRNA from 1 species